rnacentral:tRNA from 1 species
GCGGGUAUAAGUCAAUGGCAGACCGUCAGAUUCCCAAUCUGGGCAUAGGUUCGAGUCCCGUUAUCCGCU